rnacentral:rRNA from 1 species
CCCAGCAGCGACAGCACGUUGAUUGCACCAGUUUCCCUUGGAUCACUGAAGUUGAGCAACGUUACGCGUGGUUAGUAUAUGGAUGACCCAUUGGGACAAUCGCAUUCUGCUGGAU